UGGGGGGAGAGAGGUGGGGGAGAGAGGUGGGGGGGAGAGAGCGAGAGAGGUGGGGGGGGGAGAGGUGGGGGGAGAUAGAGAGGGAGAGAGACGGCAGCCGCAGCAGGCGUUAGUGGCACGGGACCUGAGCAGUGGAGGGACUGAGUACAAGAUACCAACUCGGAGCGGCUCGCAGGACCCUAAUAGCUCAGGGGACCAAAGAGACCAAGAGCUGGCACAUCACAAAACGACGAGGACCUCGGGAAAUAAUCAAGGAGCAGAGGAGCUCAGGGUCCCGAGAGCUUCACGAUCUGAGGACCAGGGUCUUGGAACCCCGUAAAGACGAAGAGGUCACUGAAGGGAACCCAGGAGUCGAGGAGACCAGGAAGAACGAGCCAGGACUACUUGGACGGAUGCCGUGACAAAGAGGGUGCGAGUUGGACGACUUCGUUGCUGCUUCGCGCUGGCGAGGAGGAGUUGGGUGGCGUGGGUGUCCCUGGGCAUGAGGGUGGCAGCAUGAGCGACUGGGUGGUUGACAGCGUGGUGGGGUUCUUGCAAAGCCCGCUGUGGGCAGACCCCGUGAUGGGAUUCAUCGAGCACAGGUGCACGGUGUUCGAUCCAGGAGAGGAGAAUAAACUUUCGUACACGGACAUCCACAGGGAGUACAAGGAGCUGGUGGAGGGUCUGCUGGAGAGCUACCUGCAGGACAUGGGCAUCUCGGAGCAGCAGCUGCUGGAUGCGUGCAGCGCCCAGAGUGUGCAGUCGGAGCACCUGCACCAGGUCUUCGAGCCCGUGCUGGCAGCAGACGACUUUGAGCUCUUCAAGGGGCUCAUGGUGCGCAAGAACAUUGAGCUGGAGCUGCAGGCGCUCAUGCACCUGCAGGAGCAGAAGGGCGUGAUACCCGAGUGCAUGAGCGUGGACGGAUUGGACAAGGCAGGAGAGCUGGACCGGGAAGAGAUGCAACUUCUGCAGGAGGCGAUCAGGGCGUCCAAGCAGCAGUACGAGAUGGAGCAGCGGUGGAGGAGGUCGUGCAUCCUGGAGCCCGGCACCACGGAGGAGCAGGAGGAUGAAGAGCCAUGCAGAGAAGGGCGACCUCUGCUACAGGGCUCCAUCCAUCAUCAGGUCAGCGAGUGCUGCGCGGACGUGCCGGGCCCGAGCGGUCGACGCUGUUCUGACGUUGCGGACGAGCCGCCUGGCGCGACGGGCCCAUCCCAGCACCAGGCUGCCGGUGCGUCAUCUGCACCAGCAGCGCGGCAGGACGUCCCGUCUGUGCCUGGCGGGAGUCAAGCAACCCAGCCGCCUCCACACCAACUCCCCUCCGAGCCGCCAGGUGGGAUGAGCGCGGAUGCGGUGGCCCAGCAGCGGCAACAGCAGCAGCCCCGUGCGAGCCAGCCCAACGGGGCGGCCCUGCCGGGCAAGGCCCAGGCCUCUAAGCUCCACGAGACGAGGCCCAAGGAGGCAGCCGUCUCCCUGAAACACAACCUGUCUGCGGAAGAGCUGCGGAGCAGGGAGGAGUACCUGAGGCAGCAGCGGGACCGCCUGCUGGCGGCAAAACGCGAGCAGCUGGGCUCGUCGCAGCGGCAGGCCAGCGCCGUCUCCAACGACCGAAAGGCGCCGGGUCCCGGCAGGGCGGACGCGUGCACGGCCGGCGGCUGCGGCGGCGACGGGGACGCUCCGCGGAGAGGCCCGUCGGCCACGGGCGGCGCUGUCGCCGAUCGGCCGGGGCCGGCAGCCACGGCCACGGGGAAACAGACAGGAGAUGGCAGCACAGCAAGCGGGUUCGUUGAACCCGUCUGUGCAGCAGAUCAGGACCUUCCUGAGGAGGUGUUGAGACUCGGCGAGGCCUUCAUGCUCGAGUAACUAAAGGGCGCUGUUGUUGCAAUCCAGAGGUCGCCGGUUCGAUCUCCCGGCCCUGGAGUAUAAAACGAUGGAUCGCUCUCCAACACACCGGGCGCACGCACGGAGGAGUCGCAGACGCUGGAGCAGAGGAAGAGGGUGGCUCACAAGCUCAAGGAGGAGCUGCUCCAGAAGAAGUGAGCCAGCCCCCCUCCACACUCUGGACUGACGCUCGCCAGCUCAGGGUGGCCCGUGCCGCCCACAGCGGUGCGUGUACGGCCGAAGGCGUUUGCCUUCCGUGACGCAGUACACUACACGUGAUGAAAAAAACAUAUAUAUAUAUAAGAAAUCGGUCAGUAUAGGAAUAACAAGCGAUACAGACACACCUUACUUCAUAAUGUAAUGUUAAGUAACGUUCAUUAACGCCUCAUUCUUAUUAGUUUUUGUCAAUGUGAUGCCGGUAGAGGUCUUAGCGAGCUGACCGCGAAUACGGCCGGGGAUCCAUUCAUCGACGACUAAUCUUCUGCGUCGCUGCUCGACUGGAAUAGACAAGUCACACGCGACGAGCAGCCAGCAGGCAUAGCGAGCGGCACCCUCGCUGCGAUGUGCCGGUGUGCUGAACCGUAUCUUCCGGGUCAAUGACACGGAACAGACCCAGCUGGAUUUCAAGUUUGACAUGCAACAAAUAUGACCCCCCCAUUCCCUGGAUGCAUUGUGUUCUAAGAAUCAAUUGUAAUCGGUAGAUCCAGGUUUUAUUCGACCAGGGUUUCCCAAUUCCUGGCGACUCACCACGCUACGUCUUUCCGCGUUUACCGAAUUUACUCCCCAUUCAAGCACACGUGACUUGGUUCCACGCUGCUGCCCGCGUCCGAUGAUUGUCAAAGACGUCCCACGUGAUGCCGCUAAACAAUCAACGUUCUUGCAUUAAUAGAGCCGAUUCACGUUACAUUAAGAUCUCAGUGUGCACGUGUGGUGUACACGUAUUUCGUGUAUACACACACACACAAUACAUGUGGCGAGAUGUUAACUACCUCGCCUGGUAUACAGGAGGUCGUGGGUUCGAUUUCGACCCUGACGCCUGCUGCUGUAUAUUUGCAUGUGCUCCCCGUGGUCGCGUGGAUUUUUCUCCGGAUCCUCUGGUUUUUCCCUCCACAUUUAAAAACAUUUAGAGUAUUUGGCUGCUAUACAUGCCCACGUGAUGAUGAGCCACUACUUCGUUGAGCUAUCAUUUGUGACGGCCAGAUCGCUUCUGAAGAAGAGCUACAUAGCUCAAUGGGCCUCACCUGGUAAAACAAAAAUAGCAGUAAAGUGGUUCGUGUACGGGUACAGCACACGUGUUCCAUGUGACACAGCGUUAACUGCUUAGCGUGUCACGUGGGAUGUGUUUAACAACCAUCGGGCGCAUGCAGCAUGGGAUGCGUUAACCUGUUUUUGAAUGGUGGAGGAGUCAUUUGGUAAAUGCAGGAUGGCGAAGCGUGGCGGUGGGUCGUGAGGACUGGGGUCAGGGAAAUCCUGCAUUAGACCUUUUCAAAGUUAAUACCAUCACGCAGAGGUGGGACAAAGUCAUUGUUAUGCAAGUCCAAGUCGAGUCUGAAGUCAUCAAAUUCAUGACUCGAGUCUGACUCGAGUCCAAGUCACAUGACUCGAGUCCACACCUCAGAGGUGGGACAAAGUCAUUGUUAUGCAAGUCCAAGUCGAGUCUGAAGUCAUCAAAUUCAUGACUCGAGUCUGACUCGAGUCCAAGUCACAUGACUCGAGUCCACACCUCUGCCAUCACGUACCCAUUACUACACCAGUCGAUGACUCCCACUCGCGUCAACAGUCAACGAUUUGUUUAAUCCAUAGUUAAAGGUUUUUGUUGGGUUAGAUCGCAUAAAUGUGUCGUUGAACCCGCCACCACCCGACACAGCCAAUUAGUAAGGUUUGUCACAUAAAUAGAACAUUUGUUUUAAUUGAUCGCAUUAACUGCCGAUGACCAUAUCUCGCCUGAAAUGCGCCCAAUCAUGUCAGAUCUUGGAAGCGAAGCGGGUGGAGGAGGUGGGGGUUUUUGGAGCCUGUCCAGUCAUUGGCCGGAUGACCACAACGCACAACACUGGGCACAGGUUGUCGUGGGACCACGUGGUUUACGCAGCGGAGGGCAGUACAGCAAGCCGGUCUGCUGUUGUACUGCGCUUCCACGAACUAAAACACGACGAACUAAAACACCACAAACUAAAACACCACAAACUAAAACACAACAAACUAAAACACAACAAACUAAAACAC